AUGGCUGAUCGCAUCAUUGGAAUGAGAAGUGCUUUGAGAGAGAACCUAGAAAAAUUAGGUUCGCCUCUUCUGUGGGAGCACAUAACCAAGCAGGUUUUGCAACUUAUCAAUUCCUAGAAUUUUUCCUGUUUCUGUGUAACUACUUGAAAUACCCUCAAUAUGAAUUCUACAAUCAUUUCUGUUAUUGCAAACAGAUCGGCAUGUUUUGCUAUAGUGGGAUGACCCCUGAACAAGUUGAUCGCUUGACAAAGGAAUUUCACAUUUACAUGACUCGUAAUGGCCGGAUUAGGUAAUACAUCUUUUUCUAAAUUUUCUAUUUUUACCUUUUUUUUAUUUGUGCAAAUUUGCCAAUAUGUAACGUUAACGCAGCAUGGCUGGAGUCAAUACGGGCAACAUUGGUUACUUGGCAAAUGCGAUUCACGAGGUCACGAAAUUGGCUUAGGGAGUUGAGAAUUUACUUAUACAUGAGAUUUAGUGUUGCUGAUUCUUAUAGGAAAUCGACUGGGUUUUAUACACAACGUUGUUCCCCAGAUCGUUCAUUAGGCCUUCAAUAAUAAGACAGAUUCAUCAAGAGCUGAUAAUUUUGAGUUCUCUUGAUUCGUUGGACAAAUUUUAUGUAUGCCAUUUGUAGCUAGUGUAGUAAUAAUUCGGUGCCAGAGGUUACAACCUAUCAAGAGAACACCAUUGUUGUAACUGCAUAUAUUUCAACAUUGAAGUUAAAGUUUCCUUCGUUCUGAUAUUCUA
rnacentral:lncRNA from 1 species